AUUAAACUAUCUCAUCUGGAAAUGCCCAAAACUCCUACGUGUUUCUUUAGGUUCACGGUCCAGAGGAAGGGUUAAACUACCACCAGGGUCAUUAAACUAUCUCAUCUGGAAAUGCCCAAAACUCCUACGUGUUUCUUUAGGUUCAUGGUACAGAGGAAGGGUCAGACUACCACCAGGGUCAUUAAACUAUCUCAUCUGGAAAUGCCCAAAACUCCUACGUGUUUCUUUAGGUUCACGGUACAGAGGAAGGGUUAAACUACCUCCAGGGUCAUUAAACUAUCUCUGGAAUGCCCGAAACUCCUGCGAAGGCCUUGUCAAAUGUGAGUGUGUGUCCUGGGGCGCCGACAUGUUUAAGAAUGAAGGUCAAAUGUGAUGAAAAAAUGUUAAGUGUGAAGGUGAUUGAGUUUUUCCAGGCUUUGUUUUAGUUUGUUUGUUUGUUAUUUUCUUACUGAUGCCGAAACUAAAUAAAGCGUAUUAUUAUUA